rnacentral:rRNA from 1 species
UACGUAGGGGGCAAGCGUUAUCCGGAUUUAUUGGGCGUAAAGCGCGCGCAGGCGGUCUGGUAAGUCGGAUGUGAAAGGCUACGGCUCAACCGUAGAGCUGCAUCCGAAACUGCUUGGCUUGAGUGCAGGAGAGGAGAGUGGAAUUCCCGGUGUAGCGGUGGAAUGCGUAGAGAUCGGGAGGAACACCAGUGGCGAAGGCGACUCUCUGGCCUGUUACUGACGCUGAGGCGCGAAAGCGUGGGGAGCGAACAGG